rnacentral:rRNA from 1 species
CUACGGAGGGGGCUAGCGUUGUUCGGAAUUACUGGGCGUAAAGCGCGCGUAGGCGGAUUGGUUAGUUGGGGGUGAAAUCCCAGGGCUCAACCCUGGAACUGCCCUCAAUACUGCCAGUCUAGAGAUCGAGAGAGGUGAGUGGAAUUCCUAGUGUAGAGGUGAAAUUCGUAGAUAUUAGGAAGAACACCAGUGGCGAAGGCGGCUCACUGGCUCGAUACUGACGCUGAGGCGCGAAAGCGUGGGGAGCAAACAGGAUUAGAAACCCCAGUAGUCC